AUACGUACCUUAACGGUGUCUAUGGCUGGUCAUGAAGGGUUAUGGCCUAGGUUAGUGACUUCCAUUGCACUUUGGAAGGGCGCUUGCCUAAGAUCCAUUCUCAUAGAGGUGGAUUAUACGUCAUAAUUUGAUUUUGAGUGGGUGUGAGGUCCACGCUGCCCCUGC